rnacentral:sRNA from 1 species
GUAGGCUUUGCCUGCUAUCUCUUACCCAUGUCUUUUGAGUACCUUACGUUUCCUCGGUGGGUUCGCCCACCGAUUGGACAAAUUUAAACCCUUUGCAGUUGAAAUCAGCGUCUGAAAAAACUUAAUAGUUACAACUUUCAACAACGGAUCUCUUGGUUCUGGCAUCGAUGAAGAACGCAGCGAAAUGCGAUAAGUAGUGUGAAUUGCAGAAUUCAGUGAAUCAUCGAAUCUUUGAACGCACAUUGCGCCCCUUGGUAUUCCAUGGGGCAUGCCUGUUCGAGCGUCAUUUGUACCUUCAAGCUCUGCUUGGUGUUGGGUGUUUGUCUCCUGUAGACUCGCCUUAAAACAAUUGGCAGCCGGCGUAUUGAUUUCGGAGCGCAGUACAUCUCGCGCUUUGCACUCAUAACGACGACAUCCAAAAGUACAUUUUUACACUCUUGACCUCGGAUCAGGUAGGGAUACCCGCUGAACUUAAGCAU